rnacentral:rRNA from 1 species
UACGAAGGGUGCAAGCGUUACUCGGAAUUACUGGCGUAAAGCGUGCGUAGGUGGUUCGUUAAGUCUGUCGUGAAAGCCCGGGCUCAACCUGGGAAUGGCGAUGGAUACUGGCGGGCUAGAGUGCGGUAGAGGAGAGUGGAAUUCCCGGUGUAGCAGUGAAAUGCGUAGAGAUCGGGAGAACAUCAGUUGCGAAGGCGCUCUCUGGACCAGCACUGACACUGAGCACGAAAGCGUGGGAGCAACAGG